CCUCCUUUUCUUGGCGGGGAUUGGGCGUGCGGUCCCACUUCCCGUAAUGUACGGAGGCAAAGGGACGGGCUUCAGCCCCCUCGGCGUUAUGUCUUCGGUGCCGGCGGCUUCCAGUCUGCCGGUUCUAUCCUCACGCGCCGGGACACGG